rnacentral:tRNA from 1 species
GGGAAUGUGGCUCAGUGGUAGAGUGCUUGCCUACCAUGCAUGAAGCCCUGGACUCAAUUCCUCAGUUCCA